GUGAAGCAUCAAAUUUUUGAACGCAAAUUGGGCUUGCUGGUAUCGCGGGAAGUAUGCCUGUUUGAGGGGCAGUAUUAACAAAAAAUCGGUUUGGUUGCAAAGUGUGACGUUUACGGAGUUUGGGCUUAUCUUAACUUUUUGGGUUAAGGGGCUUAAAAUUGACCUUUUUUGAGCAUUUUUAGAAGUACAUAAAUUUUGUUUUAUUCGUCUAUUGUUAAGGACAAAAUUUUAUUAGAUGCGAUCACAUCGUGUGGCUUCGUGUCCAUAAAAUUUUCAUGAUUUGAC
rnacentral:misc_RNA from 1 species